rnacentral:rRNA from 1 species
GAGUUGUAAUUUGCAGAGGAUGCUUUUGGUGAGGUGCCUUCCGAGUUCCCUGGAACGGGACGCCAUAGAGGGUGAGAGCCCCGUCUGGUUGGACACCGAGCCUCUGUAAAGCUCCUUCGACGAGUCGAGUAGUUUGGGAAUGCUGCUCUAAAUGGGAGGUAUAUGUCUUCUAAAGCUAAAUACCGGCCAGAGACCGAUAGCGCACAAGUAGAGUGAUCGAAAGAUGAAAAGCACUUUGAAAAGAGGGUUAAACAGUACGUGAAAUUGUUGAAAGGGAAGCGCUUGUGACCAGACUUGGGCUUGGUUAAUCAUCCAGCGUUCUUCGCUGGUGCACUUGGCCGGCCCAGGCCAGCAUCAGUUCGGCGCGGGGGACAAAGGCUUCGGGAAUGUGGCUCCCCCGGGAGUGUUAUAGCCCGCUGCGUAAUACCCUGCGCUGGACUGAGGACCGCGCAUCUGCAAGGAUGCUGGCGUAAUGGUCAUCAGCGACCCGUCUUGAAACACGGACCAAGGAGUCGUCUUCGUAUGCGAGUGUUCGGGUGUCAAACCCCUACGCGGAAUGAAAGUGAACGCAGGUGAGAGCUUCGGCGCAUCAUCGACCGAUCCUGAUGUUCUCGGAUGGAUUUGAGUAAGAGCAUACGGGGCCGGACCCGAAAGAAGGUGAACUAUGCCUGUAUAGGGUGAAGCCAGAGGAAACUCUGGUGGAGGCUCGCAGCGGUUCUGACGUGCAAAUCGAUCGUCAAAUA